rnacentral:rRNA from 1 species
CCUACGGGAGGCAGCAGUGAGGAAUAUUGGACAAUGGUCGGAAGACUGAUCCAGCCAUGCCGCGUGCAGGAUGAAGGUCCUAUGGAUUGUAAACUGCUUUUGUAAGGGAAGAAUAAGGAGUACGAGUACUUUGAUGACGGCACCUUACGAAUAAGCAUCGGCUAACUCCGUGCCAGCAGCCGCGGUAAUACGGAGGAUGCGAGCGUUAUCCGGAAUCAUUGGGUUUAAAGGGUCCGUAGGCGGGCUGAUAAGUCAGAGGUGAAAGCGCUUAGCUCAACUAAGCAACUGCCUUUGAAACUGUCAGUCUUGAAUGAUUGUGAAGUAGUUGGAAUGUGUAGUGUAGCGGUGAAAUGCUUAGAUAUUACACAGAACACCGAUAGCGAAGGCAUAUUACUAACAAUUUAUUGACGCUGAUGGACGAAAGCGUGGGGAGCGAACAGGAUUAGAUACCCUGGUAGUCCACGCUGUAAACGAUGGAUACUAGCUGUUUGGAGCAAUCUGAGUGGCUAAGCGAAAGUGAUAAGUAUCCCACCUGGGGAGUACGCACGCAAGUGUGAAACUCAAAGGAAUUGACGG